rnacentral:rRNA from 1 species
CUACGUGCCAGCAGCCGCGGUAAUACGUAUGUCACGAGCGUUAUCCGGAUUUAUUGGGCGUAAAGCGCGUCUAGGUGGUUAUAUAAGUCUGAUGUGAAAAUGCAGGGCUCAACUCUGUAUUGCGUUGGAAACUGUAUAACUAGAGUACUGGAGAGGUAAGCGGAACUACAAGUGUAGAGGUGAAAUUCGUAGAUAUUUGUAGGAAUGCCGAUGGGGAAGCCAGCUUACUGGACAGAUACUGACGCUGAAGCGCGAAAGCGUGGGUAGCAAACAGGAUUAGAUACCCUGGUAGUCCACGCUGUAAACGAUGAUUACUAGGUGUUGGGGGUCGAACCUCAGCGCCCAAGCAAACGCGAUAAGUAAUCCGCCUGGGGAGUACGUACGCAAGUAUGAAGCUCAAAGGAAUUGACGGGGACCCGCACAAGCGGUGGAGCAUGUGGUUUAAUUCGACGCAACGCGAGGAACCUUACCAGCGUUUGACAUC